ensembl:snRNA
GUGUUCUGUGAAAGGGGAGGAGGUUAGCACUUCCUUUGACAAGGGUUGGAAGAGGCCCUUGGGCCUGAUAGCACCGAACAUAGUUCAGGCUUUGCCACCUAUUUCAUGGCAUCUGAGCAUCGUUUCAU